rnacentral:lncRNA from 10 species
GAAUGCCCUUUUCUUAUCUCGUAAACUCUGUUUAUUGUUCAAAACUCAGUUCCGUCAGCUGUAGUUGAGGAUGCCAAAAACGGGAGCCACUAUCUUGCUACUGUGAGAAAGAGGAUGGGUGGUAUUGGAGGUUGAGUGGACCAUUCCUGUGUUUCUGAAGGGUGAGAGGAAGGCCAAAUUUUAACAACUAUCUGCAUACAGAAAAGCACCAUCAGAAGAACAAAAAAUCACAAGACAUAAGGAACAACAAAAAAUUAAAAGGUGACACUGAUGGGCUACACCACAAUUCAGCUUAUAAGAACCUGUGGAACCUCUGGCACCUGUGGAAGGAGUCCUGUAGUAGCCGCAAUCACUGGAAGAAAGUAAGAAAUGGUAUGGAUGUUGGCAGAGUGGCCCAAUAUAUGUAAAGUUGCUAUUCAAAGGAAGCUGACUGUCUUCUU